rnacentral:misc_RNA from 1 species
AAGUCGUAACAAGGUUUCCGUAGGUGAACCUGCGGAAGGAUCAUUGAAAAAGUUUUGAAAGAAAAAAAAAUUAAUUUUUUUUCCCUUCCCGGGGAAAGGAUUUCCGCCUUCUAAAAAUUUCGGCUGAUGAAAUGGUUGUGCUGCCGCAUGCCACCGCGAGAAAUCUUUUUCUUGCGCUGUUCAGCGUGUUGCCUCGACCGAAAAAUUGACACAACUUUUAACAAUGGAUCUCUUGGCUCUC